AUUGAACGCUGGCGGCAUGCUUUACACAUGCAAGUCGAACGGCAGCGCGGGCUUCGGCCUGGCGGCGAGUGGCGAACGGGUGAGUGAUACAUCGGAACGUGCCCAGUAGUGGGGGAUAGCUCGGCGAAAGCCGGAUUAAUACCGCAUACGACCUGAGGGUGAAAGCGGGGGAUCUUCGGACCUCGCGCUAUUGGAGCGGCCGAUGGCAGAUUAGCUAGUUGGUGGGGUAAAGGCCUACCAAGGCGACGAUCUGUAGCUGGUCUGAGAGGACGACCAGCCACACUGGGACUGAGACACGGCCCAGACUCCUACGGGAGGCAGCAGUGGGGAAUUUUGGACAAUGGGCGAAAGCCUGAUCCAGCAAUGCCGCGUGUGUGAUGAAGGCCUUCGGGUUGUAAAGCACUUUUGGCGGGAACGAAAAGGACUGUGCCAAUACCACGGUUCGAUGACGGUACCCGCAGAAUAAGCACCGGCUAACUACGU
rnacentral:rRNA from 1 species